rfam:Paramecium tetraurelia chromosome undetermined scaffold_68, whole genome shotgun sequence.
GCCCAUGUGGCGCAAUUGGUAGCGCGACAGCCUUCUAAGCUGUAGGCUGCAGGUUCAAUCCCUGCCAUGGGUG